AGUGAACGCUGGCGGUAUGCCUAACACAUGCAAGUCGAACGGCAGCACAGUAAGAUCUUGCUCUUACGGGUGGCGAGUGGCGGACGGGUGAGGAAUACAUCGGAAUCUACUUUUUCGUGGGGGAUAACGUAGGGAAACUUACGCUAAUACCGCAUACGACCUACGGGUGAAAGCAGGGGAUCUUCGGACCUUUCGCGAUUGAAUGAGCCGAUGUCGGAUUAGCUAGUUGGCGGGGUAAAGGCCCACCAAGGCGACGAUCCGUAGCUGGUCUGAGAGGAUGAUCAGCCACACUGGAACUGAGACACGGUCCAGACUCCUACGGGAGGCAGCAGUGGGGAAUAUUGGACAAUGGGCGAAAGCCUGAUCCAGCCAUACCGCGUGGGUGAAGAAGGCCUUCGGGUUGUAAAGCCCUUUUGUUGGGAAAGAAAAGCAGCAGGUUAAUACCCCGCUGUUCUGACGGUACCCAAAGAAUAAGCACCGGCUAACUUCGUG
rnacentral:rRNA from 1 species